UGGGGCUGUAAAAGUUGGAUGUGGGUCGCUAUGGGUUGUUAGGGGUCACUAUGGGUCUCUGUGGGUCUCUAUGGGUCCAAUAUGGGUCUCUACGGGUACUUAUGGGUGGGAUGUGGGUCGCUAUGGGUCUCUAUGGGUUGUUAUGGGUCACUAUGGGUCUCUGUGGGUCUCUAUGGGGCUGUAAAGGUUGGAUGUGGGUCGCUAUGGGUCUCUGUGGGUCUCUAUGGGUCCCUAUGGGUGGGAUGUGGGUCGCUAUGGGUCUCUAUGGGUUGUUAUGGGUCACUAUGGGUCUCUAUGGGUCCCUACGGGUGGGCUGUGGGUCGCUAUGGGUCGCCGUGGGGCAGGGAGCCGUGGUUCGAGGAGAACCGUGGGGCAGCCCUGGGCGGUGUGGGGCUGGCCGCCAGCUCGGGGCCCGGCGCCAUGAUGCAGCUGAAGGUGACGGCGCUGAUGAAGGCUGAGCUCUGCGAGUUGGUGUCGCGGCGCCUGGAGGAGCCCCAGCCCGAAUUCAGCGUCCACGGCGUCAUGGCUGUCAUGGGGGGGCAGGUGGGACCCACAGCGCCCCACAGCUCGCCCCAUAGAUCCCACAGCUCACCCCAUAGAUCCCACAGCGCCCCACAGCUCGCCCCAUAGAUCCCACAGCUCACCCCAUAGCGGCCCACAGAACCCCACAGCUCACCCCAUAGAUCCUACAGCUCACCCCAUAGAUCCCACAGCGCCCCAUAGAUCCCACAGUGCCCCAUAGAUCCCACAGAACCCCACAACUCACCCCAUAGCGCCCCACAGAUCCCACAGAACCCCACAGCUCGCCCCAUAGAUCCCACAGCUCACCCCAUAGAUCCCACAGCGCCCCACAGCGCCCCAUAGCUCACCCCAUAGAUCCCACAGCGCCCCAUAGCUCACCCCAUAGAUCCCACAGCUCACCCCAUAGAUCUCGCAGCGCCCCACAGCUCACCCCACAGAUCCCACAGCACCCCAUGGCUCACCCCAUAGAUCCCACAGCGCCCCAUAGAUCCCACAGCGCCCCAUAGCUCACUCCAUAGAUCCCACAGCUCACCCCAUAGAUCCCGCAGCUCACCCCACAGUACCCCAUAGAUCCCACAGCUCACCCCAUAGAUCCCACAGAGCCCCAUAACCACCUCACUGAGCCCCACAGAGCCCCAUAA
rnacentral:lncRNA from 1 species